UGAGUGAUACUGGAGUACUUAAGGAAAGCUUCGAAGAAUGGGAGGAAAUGAGCCCUGUGUCCAUGCGGUUGAGUUCAGCGGGCAGGGAAGGAGCGUGGUCGUACCUAAUACCUGACAGCAGCAUUGAAAAGACAAAAAAAGGUGGAAAAUUGGACACAGACAUGCUCAAAGAGAAAAUGUGAUGUUGAAAGCAGAAAUCUACAAGGGAAGUAACGCUAAGAUUGUGGACAGCCACCAGAAGCUAGAGGAGAGGCACAGAUUCUGCAUCACUAUGCUCAGAAGGAACCAACCCUGCCAACGCUUUGAUUUCAGACCUCUGCCUCCAAAACUGAACUGUGAGACAAUUCAUUUUCAUUGUUUAAGCCACUUUGAUACAGCAACCCUAGCAAACCUAUAGAUAUCUCCUUAGGGGGAUAAAUUAAAAUGAUUCUUACAUUAAACAAAAUACCUAAAAGGAAUAUUACCAAAUUCUUACAUGGUGUUCCUGUUCAUUGAUAUGAUUUUUACAUUGGCCCAUGAAGCUAGACAGGCAGUAGGUAUG